GGUGCGGCUGCUUACCUGCAGUCGAACGAUGAAGCCCAGCUUGCUGGGUGGAUUAGUGGCGAACGGGUGAGUAACACGUGAGUAACCUGCCCUUGACUCUGGGAUAAGCGCUGGAAACGGCGUCUAAUACCGGAUACGACCUGCCCCGGCAUCGGGUGUGGGUGGAAAGUUUUUCGGUCAAGGAUGGACUCGCGGCCUAUCAGCUUGUUGGUGAGGUAAUGGCUCACCAAGGCGACGACGGGUAGCCGGCCUGAGAGGGUGACCGGCCACACUGGGACUGAGACACGGCCCAGACUCCUACGGGAGGCAGCAGUGGGGAAUAUUGCACAAUGGGCGCAAGCCUGAUGCAGCAACGCCGCGUGGGGGAUGACGGCCUUCGGGUUGUAAACCUCUUUUAGUAGGGAAGAAGGGCUUCGGCUUGACGGUACCUGCAGAAAAAGCACCGGCUAACUACGUGCCAGCAGCCGCGGUAAUACGUAGGGUGCAAGCGUUGUCCGGAAUUAUUGGGCGUAAAGAGCUCGUAGGCGGUUUGUCGCGUCUGCUGUGAAAACCCGAGGCUCAACCUCGGGCCUGCAGUGGGUACGGGCAGACUAGAGUGCGGUAGGGGAGAAUGGAAUUCCUGGUGUAGCGGUGGAAUGCGCAGAUAUCAGGAGGAACACCGAUGGCGAAGGCAGUUCUCUGGGCCGUUACUGACGCUGAGGAGCGAAAGCGUGGGGAGCGAACAGGAUUAGAUACCCUGGUAGUCCACGCCGUAAACGUUGGGAACUAGAUGUGGGGACCUUUCCACGGUCUCCGUGUCGCAGCUAACGCAUUAAGUUCCCCGCCUGGGGAGUACGGCCGCAAGGCUAAAACUCAAAGGAAUUGACGGGGGCCCGCACAAGCGGCGGAGCAUGCGGAUUAAUUCGAUGCAACGCGAAGAACCUUACCAAGGCUUGACAUAUACCGGAAACUUCCAGAAAUGGUUGCCCCGCAAGGUCGGUAUACAGGUGGUGCAUGGUUGUCGUCAGCUCGUGUCGUGAGAUGUUGGGUUAAGUCCCGCAACGAGCGCAACCCUCGUUCUAUGUUGCCAGCACGUCAUGGUGGGAACUCAUAGGAGACUGCCGGGGUCAACUCGGAGGAAGGUGGGGAUGACGUCAAAUCAUCAUGCCCCUUAUGUCUUGGGCUUCACGCAUGCUACAAUGGCCGGUACAAAGGGCUGCGAUACCGUAAGGUGGAGCGAAUCCCAAAAAGCCGGUCUCAGUUCGGAUUGAGGUCUGCAACUCGACCUCAUGAAGUCGGAGUCGCUAGUAAUCGCAGAUCAGCAACGCUGCGGUGAAUACGUUCCCGGGCCUUGUACACACCGCCCGUCAAGUCAUGAAAGUCGGUAACACCCGAAGCCAGUGGCCUAACCGCAAGGAGGGAGCGUCGAAGGUAUC
rnacentral:rRNA from 1 species